ACAAACAGAAUGACAGUUGUUCAGAGCUACAUAGGACAACAUCAUUACAAACAGACACCAGAGUUUGACAAACUCAAUAGCAAAGUAGGACAACUCAUUCUGGAAUCCAUAGCCAUUAACAGUGGCUACACUUCCAAAA
rnacentral:sRNA from 1 species